GAAAUAUUGCACAAUGGGCGCAAGCCUGAUGCAGCCAUGCCGCGUGUAUGAAGAAGGCCUUCGGGUUGUAAAGUACUUUCAGCAGUGAGGAAGGCGGAGUCGUUAAUAGCGGCCUCGUUUGACGUUAGCUGCAGAAGAAGCACCGGCUAACUCCGUGCCAGCAGCCGCGGUAAUACGGAGGGUGCGAGCGUUAAUCGGAAUUACUGGGCGUAAAGCGCAUGCAGGUGGUUUGUUAAGUCAGAUGUGAAAGCCCGGGGCUCAACCUCGGAAUUGCAUUUGAAACUGGCAGACUAGAGUACUGUAGAGGGGGGUAGAAUUUCAGGUGUAGCGGUGAAAUGCGUAGAGAUCUGAAGGAAUACCGGUGGCGAAGGCGGCCCCCUGGACAGAUACUGACACUCAGAUGCGAAAGCGUGGGGAGCAAACAGGAUUAGAUACCCUGGUAGUCCACGCCGUAAACGAUGUCUACUUGGAGGUUGUGGCCUUGAGCCGUGGCUUUCGGAGCUAACGCGUUAAGUAGACCGCCUGG
rnacentral:rRNA from 1 species